AAAUAAAUAAAUAAAUCAGUCAACAAAUACAUAUCAAAAAGGAACCAGUGGCCACAUGGAGGCAAAGGAGCAUGAGGAAUCUUCUGAGCAGUGAAGAAAAUCUUGGAUAUGUUGGUGGUUUCACAGCUGUCAGAAUUCACUGAAUUGCACAGAUUAAGUGGAUGCAGUUUGUGUGCAAAGGAUCCUUUGAUAAAGCUGAAUAAAAAUCACUAAUGAAGACCUAAAGUGAAAAGAGGCAGGGAGGAUAAUCUAAUGCAUAGAAACCAUUAUGCCAGUAAAAGAAGAGUCAGAAGCAGGAAAGUCAUUCUCAGGAGCCACUGUGUUUUGGCCUCAUGUUCAAUGCUAAGUUUCAAAACAAAUGUAGUAUUCCUUGCAACCAUGAGAAGUUGGUGAGUGAUUUGAAAUCAUUCUUAUGAUGAGGUGGAAGCUUUUGGAAUCUGUACCCCUGCACUUUAUCCUUGUCCUCAUGAUUUACAAAACCAUGAAAAUAAAGCUCAGUUAAUUCAUCAUCA
rnacentral:lncRNA from 1 species